rnacentral:rRNA from 1 species
UACGUAGGUGGCGAGCGUUGUCCGGAUUUACUGGGCGUAAAGAGCGCGCAGGCGGUCGUACAAGUCGCGUGUGAAAGCCCCCGGCUCAACUGGGGAGGGUCACGCGAUACUGUUCGACUCGAAGGCAGGAGAGGGUAGUGGAAUUCCCGGUGUAGUGGUGAAAUGCGUAGAUAUCGGGAGGAACACCAGUGGCGAAGGCGGCUUUCUGGUCUGCUCUUGACGCUGAGGCGCGAAAGCUAGGGUAGCAAACGGG